rnacentral:rRNA from 1 species
UACGUAGGGGGCAAGCGUUGUCCGGAAUCAUUGGGCGUAAAGAGCGUGUAGGCGGUCCGGUAAGUCGGCUGUGAAAGUCCAGGGCUCAACCCUGGGAUGCCGGUCGAUACUGCCGGACUAGAGUUCGGAAGAGGCGAGUGGAAUUCCCGGUGUAGCGGUGAAAUGCGCAGAUAUCGGGAGGAACACCUAUGGCGAAGGCAGCUCGCUGGGACGUUACUGACGCUGAGGAGCGAAAGCUGGGGAGCGAACAGG